rnacentral:rRNA from 1 species
UACGAAGGGGGCUAGCGUUGCUCGGAAUCACUGGGCGUAAAGGGUGCGUAGGCGGGUCCUUAAGUCAGGGGUGAAAUCCUGGAGCUCAACUCCAGAACUGCCUUUGAUACUGAGGAUCUUGAGUCCGGGAGAGGUGAGUGGAACUGCGAGUGUAGAGGUGAAAUUCGUAGAUAUUCGCAAGAACACCAGUGGCGAAGGCGGCUCACUGGACCGGCAUUGACGCUGAUGUGCGAAAGCGUGGGGAGCAAACAGG